UGGAGCAUGUGGUUUAAUUCGAUGAUACGCGAGGAACCUUGCCUGGGCUCAAAUGUAUGUUGACGUAUUCUGAAAGGGAUACUUCUUCGGACAAUAUACAAGGUGCUGCAUGGUUGUCGUCAGCUCGUGCCGUGAGGUGUCGGGUUAAGUCCCAUAACGAGCGCAACCCUAUCAUUAGUUGCCAUCAGGUCAAGCUGGGGACUCUAAUGAAACUGCCUACGCAAGUAGUGAGGAAGGUGGGGAUGACGUCAAAUCAGCACGGCCCUUACGUCCAGGGCUACACACGUGCUACAAUGGCCGGUACAAAGGGCAGCUACCUGGUGACAGGAUGCUAAUCUCAAAAGCCGGUCUCAGUUCGGAUCGGAGUCUGCAACCCGACUCCGUGAAGCUGGAAUCGCUAGUAAUCGCGCAUCAGCCAUGGCGCGGUGAAUACGUUCCCGGGCCUU
rnacentral:rRNA from 1 species